GCAACUCGCCUGCACGAAGUCGGAAUUGCUAGUAAUCGUAGGUCAGCAUACUACGGUGAAUACGUUCCCGGGCCUUGUACACACCGCCCGUCACACCAUGGGAGUUGGUGACGCCCGAAGCCAGUGACCCAACCGGAAACGGAGGGAGCUGUCGAAGGUGGGACCGAUAACUGGGGUGAAGUCGUAACAAGGUACC
rnacentral:rRNA from 1 species